rnacentral:rRNA from 1 species
UACGAAGGGGGCUAGCGUUGUUCGGAAUCACUGGGCGUAAAGGGCGCGUAGGCGGCUUUAUAAGUCGGGGGUGAAAGCCUGUGGCUCAACCACAGAAUUGCCUUCGAUACUGUAGAGCUUGAGACCGGAAGAGGUAAGUGGAACUGCGAGUGUAGAGGUGAAAUUCGUAGAUAUUCGCAAGAACACCAGUGGGGAAGGCGGCUUACUGGUCCGGUUCUGACGCUGAGGCGCGAAAGCGUGGGGAGCAAACAGG